rnacentral:rRNA from 1 species
AUUGAACGCUGGCGGCAUGCUUUACACAUGCAAGUCGAACGGCAGCACGGCCUUCGGUCUGGUGGCGAGUGGCGAACGGGUGAGUAAUGUAUCGGAACGUGCCCAGUCGUGGGGGAUAACGUAGUGAAAAUUACGCUAAUACCGCAUACGAUCUAUGGAUGAAAGCGGGGGAUCGUCAGACCUCGCGCGAUUGGAGCGGCCGAGAUCAGAUUAGGUGGUUGGUGGGGUAAAGGCCCACCAAGCCGACGAUCUGUAGCUGGUCUGAGAGGACGACCAGCCACACUGGAACUGAGACACGGUCCAGACUCCUACGGGAGGCAGCAGUGGGGAAUUUUGGACAAUGGGCGAAAGCCUGAUCCAGCCAUUCCGCGUGCAGGAUGAAGGCCCUCGGGUUGUAAACUGCUUUUGUACAGAACGAAAAGGUUUCUACUAAUACUAGGAGCUCAUGACGGUACUGUAAGAAUAAGCACCGGCUAACUACGUGCCAGCAGCCGCCGUAA